rnacentral:other from 1 species
GAAUUCCUUACAGCAAUGACUCAUCUGAAACCCUUGGAUUCUG